AUGGAAACUUCACCAGGAGUCUCAUCCAAAGACUGCUGGCAUCAGCAGAAAUUCACUGUGCUGCCCAAAGAAACGCAGCGGAGCGCUACGAGCUGUAUUCCUCAGCGCCAGCAGCUGCUGGUAGCGCUCAGUGCUUCACUGGAAUCCGGGCACUGGUGGGAGGAGCUGGGCAGCAAGCAGGGCUUGUGGAAAACGGCAGCUCCUGCACGUCCGUGCACCCAGGAAUCCAGUUUCUCCUUUCCUCAUAAACGGGAGAGUGAAGGCAGUGUCUGUGGCCUAAAACUCUUCCUGAGCUCAACCACAACCAUCUGUGGCCCAUCACAGCCGUCACUCUCCAGCCAAGCGCAAACCAAGCCAGCAGCUCUCAGCACUCAGAUGAGGCAGCAUCGGCAGCACUCAGCCUUACCAGAAAGCCGUCUUUCUUGAAAGAAGAGCUUUUGCAUCUCAACAACAAACCUCAUACCUCUGAGCAAGGUUGCAAGGAGAGGUCGGGCACCGUCCUGUCACAGCGAGAAGAGAGCUGGAAUGAUGGACCUCUCACAGCCCGGACGCCUCGUCACCGGGCGCGUUUCACUGCUCCUCUCAGCGCUGGUUCUACAGUCACCACGGCAGCGUCCUCCGAAUAACCUGCGAACCCGGCUCUGCCAUCACGGCCGCCACC
rnacentral:lncRNA from 1 species